GACGAACGCUGGCGGCGUGCUUAACACAUGCAAGUCGAACGGAAAGGCCCUGCUUUUGUGGGGUGCUCGAGUGGCGAACGGGUGAGUAACACGUGAGUAACCUGCCCUUGACUUUGGGAUAACUUCAGGAAACUGGGGCUAAUACCGGAUAGGAGCUCCUGCUGCAUGGUGGGGGUUGGAAAGUUUCGGCGGUUGGGGAUGGACUCGCGGCUUAUCAGCUUGUUGGUGGGGUAGUGGCUUACCAAGGCUUUGACGGGUAGCCGGCCUGAGAGGGUGACCGGCCACAUUGGGACGGAGGUACGGCCCAGACUCCUACGGGAGGCAGCAGUGGGGAAUAUUGCACAAUGGGCGGAAGCCUGAUGCAGCAACGCCGCGUGCGGGAUGACGGCCUUCGGGUUGUAAACCGCUUUCGCCUGUGACGAAGCGUGAGUGACGGUAAUGGGUAAAGAAGCACCGGCUAACUACGUG
rnacentral:rRNA from 1 species